GCUUACGACCACACGGCCUGAGUACGCCUGAUCUCGUCUGAUCUCGGAAGCUAAGCAGGGUCGGGCUGGUUAGUACUUGGAUGGGAGACCGCCUGGGAAUACCAGGUGCUGUAAGCU
rnacentral:rRNA from 1 species